rfam:Ictidomys tridecemlineatus contig018304, whole genome shotgun sequence.
AGGGUUGUGGCUCAGUGGUAGAGCACUUGUCUAGCAUGCAUGAGGUAUUGGGUUCGAUCCCCAGCACCACAU